GAUAAACGCUAGCGGCAGGCUUAACACAUGCAAGUCGAGGGGCAGCAUAGAUUGUAGCAAUACAAUUGGUGGCGGCCGGCGCACGGGUGCGUAACGCGUAUGCAACCUGCCCGUCACAGGGGGAUAAUCCGGAGAAAUCUGGUCUAAUACCCCAUAACAUAUGGAUCGGCAUCGGUUCAUGUUGAAAUUUUCGGAGGUGACGGAUGGGCAUGCGUAGCAUUAGCUUGUUGGUGAGGUAACGGCUCACCAAGGCGACGAUGCUUAGGGGGACUGAGAGGUUUUCCCCCCACACUGGUACUGAGACACGGACCAGACUCCUACGGGAGGCAGCAGUGAGGAAUAUUGGUCAAUGGGCGCAAGCCUGAACCAGCCAUGCCGCGUGCAGGAUGACGGCUCUAUGAGUUGUAAACUGCUUUUGUACGAGGGUAAAGUGGGUUACGUGUAACCUUUUGAAAGUAUCGUACGAAUAAGGAUCGGCUAACUCCGUGCCAGCCGCCGCGGUAA
rnacentral:rRNA from 1 species